GCCCGCCUAGCUCAAUCGGAUAGAGCGUCAGACUCUUAGGCGGGUGGUGAUUACAUCCUACCGUAAUCUGAAGGCUGCGAGUUCGACCCUCGCGGUGGGCU